rnacentral:snRNA from 1 species
AUUUGCUUUGGCUUCACAUAUACUAAAAAGCUGGAGAGAUACAGAGAAGAUUAGCACGGUCCCUGAACAAGGAUGACACAAAAAUUCAUGAAGCAUUCCAUUUAAAA